AAGAAAAUUAAGAAAGAGGCAAUAAGAUAUAUUUACAAGCGUUGCACGGCUGUCUUCAGUUAAUGUCGCGAGACUUUGGUUAGUUCCAUUAAAUUAACGUAAACCCUUACUUUAUUUUUAUAUAGAGUAGUUCCCCGGUAUAUUGGAU
rnacentral:rRNA from 1 species